UCCCAUAUUGCUCAGUGGUAAAGAAUCUGCCUGCAAUGCAGGAGACCUGGGUUUGAUUCCUGAGUUGGGAA
rnacentral:tRNA from 1 species